GGUUCUCUGACAGUCGGACUCGCUUAAAACCUAUCAACAAUGUGCGCGUCUAACUCACUCCAACUAACCCACUGAUCCGUUCCAGUUCCUACCUAAUAUACCCUUCCCUAGUCAGUUAGUUACAGUGGUUGGGUUAGGUUAGUUUAAAUGGGUUGAGUUCCAGUUCCUAUCCCGUAGCUUCCCUAUAAUCCCAAUCUCAGUUUCAGUUUCUCCUCUUUUCCCUCUUAUGUAACUUUGCAUAGAAUCAGAGACGGGUGGAUAUGAAUUCAUCAAAUCUAGACGUAUAGAUUCGAAAAGAGCUAGAAGGUUCUGAUUUUGCUUAGGAAAUCAAAAAUCACAGAUGGGGGGUCAUACCAAGAUUCUGUAGACUGUAGAUGCCAAUGCCUUUAGGGUUUUGGAUAUCAGCUAAAAGUACUCAAGAUUGUAGGAAGUUGAACCCUAAUGGUAUCGUUGUUCUUCAUCAGAGUGAUAUUGGUGAGUAUUUGAGAAUGAACGAUGAUCUUUAAAUUAAUUUUAGCAUGAAUUGUGUGUAUUUCUUGUUUUGGGUUUUGGGGGUUUUGAGAACUGUAAUCUGGGUUAUUAAUGGAUUAUCCUAUGUUUUUAUGUUUGAAUUGUAUUGCCAGUUUCAUGUUAACAAUGAAGUAAAUUUUGAAUUUGUGUUUAAAUUUGAUGGUAUUUGAAUUCUGUA